rnacentral:rRNA from 1 species
CACGAACGCUGGCGGCGUGCCUAACACAUGCAAGUCGAGCGGAGUCAGUAAGAGGAAGUUUUCGGAUGGAAUCUUAUUGAUUUAGCGGCGGACGGGUGAGUAACGCGUGAGCGACCAACCAUGCACAGGGGGAUAACGGACCGAAAGGUUCACUAAUACCGCAUGAGACCACGGUGUUGCAUGACACAGAGGUCAAAGGAGCAAUCCGGUGCAAGACGGGCUCGCGUCCGAUUAGGUAGUUGGAGGGGUAACGGCCCACCAAGCCUAUGAUCGGCAGCCGACCUGAGAGGGUGAUCGGCCACAUUGGAACUGAGAUACGGUCCAAACUCCUACGGGAGGCAGCAGUGGGGAAUAUUGGGCAAUGGGGGAAACCCUGACCCAGCAACGCCGCGUGAAGGAAGAAGGUUUUCGGAUUGUAAACUUCUGUCCUUGGUGAAGAGAAGAAGACGGUAGCCAAGGAGGAAGCCCCGGCUAACUACGUGCCAGCCGCCGCGGUAAAAC